UGGGGAAUUUUGGACAAUGAGGGAAACCCUGAUCCAGCCAUCCCGCGUGUGCGAUGAAGGCCUUCGGGUUGUAAAGCACUUUUGGCAGGAAAGAAACGUCGCGGGUUAAUACCCCGCGAAACUGACGGUACCUGCAGAAUAAGCACCGGCUAACUACGUGCCAGCAGCCGCGGUAAUACGUAGGGUGCAAGCGUUAAUCGGAAUUACUGGGCGUAAAGCGUGCGCAGGCGGUUCGGAAAGAAAGAUGUGAAAUCCCAGAGCUUAACUUUGGAACUGCAUUUUUAACUACCGGGCUAGAGUGUGUCAGAGGGAGGUGGAAUUCCGCGUGUAGCAGUGAAAUGCGUAGAUAUGCGGAGGAACACCGAUGGCGAAGGCAGCCUCCUGGGAUAACACUGACGCUCAUGCACGAAAGCGUGGGGAGCAAACAGGAUUAGAUACCCUGGUAGUCCACGCCCUAAACGAUGUCAACUAGCUGUUGGGGGCCUUCGGGCCUUGGUAGCGCAGCUAACGCGUGAAGUUGACCGCCUGGGGAGUACGGUCGCAAGAUUAAAAACUCAAAGGAAUUGACGGGGGUCAUAGCUGUUUCCU
rnacentral:rRNA from 1 species